UACGUAGGGUGCAAGCGUUAAUCGGAAUUACUGGGCGUAAAGCGUGCGCAGGCGGCUUUGCAAGACAGAUGUGAAAUCCCCGGGCUCAACCUGGGAACUGCAUUUGUGACUGCAUGGCUGGAGUGCGGCAGAGGGGGAUGGAAUUCUGCGUGUAGCAGUGAAAUGCGUAGAUAUCGGGAGGAACACCGGUGGCGAAGGCGGCUCACUGGGCCGGUCCUGACGCUCAGGCGCGAAAGCGUGGGGAGCGAUCCGG
rnacentral:rRNA from 1 species